GAAUAAGGUUUUCUUCACUGGACCGAUCCGAGUUGUUCCCCAAAUCCACUGCUUGAGGAGGUGAGCACUCGGAUCCGGCGAGGUGCCGCGAGCGAGGCGCGAUGAGAGACCGUGCCAUGUUCCAUCUCUGCGCGCUUUUCUCGCGAGCGCCCUCUGCUAGCCUGCCUUCUCCUGGUCACGCGCUGCCUCAGGUACUCGGCAUCUCUCCCCCGUCCUUGGCGUCCACCACGAAGGACCUCCGCUUACCCUUCUGGUCGCGCGCUGCGGGUUACUGGGCCGGGUGCGUCUCCAUUCGAAGCUGGGUUCCUGGGGCGCUUGUUCUUCUCCGUUCGAAGGCGGAGCGUCCGUGGAGGAGGCGGUGGGGUAUUGGUGGAAGUGCUGCUGUUGGUGCACAUUCACGGCGACCGGUGCAGCCUGGGGCACGGAGGCCAUGAACGUCUUGUGCCGAUUGUGCGAAAUGGCCAUUCUGUGGUUGCUGCUUGAUUUAUUUCGGGCUUUGGGGAAUUUUCCUAUGGGAGAUCGACGUCAGGACGGGAAAUGUCUGCAUUAGUUGACAACAAUAGCAUAAUUUGGGAAGCUAGUAAAGCCACCAAUCAAAUCUCAUUUGUUUCAUGAUGAGUCACUACCAUCUUUCUUCCGGAGGUUGGCAUGGUCACCUAUGAUCUUUUCUAGUAUUGCCAGCAGGCCUAUUUUCAGCAAAUGCCAUGUCCUCUCAAGUAUGACAAAAUGGAGAUGUGAAGCGUGGACAAUCAGUUGGCACUGCAGCCAUUGGUGGUCCAUUCAAGCCUUUGAAUCAUGAUGGAAAAUUAGAAACUAAUUUGAUGGUACAAAAUGGCUUUCUAGAGAAGACACUGGUUUCCCUUGGCCGGACAGAUUUCAAAUUGAAUAUGUGGUUGUCUCUAUCGGCAGCAAGGGAUGAAACCUUGAUGGUGAAUCCUGGAAGAUGGCGAAUCCUGGAAGAUGGCGAGUGCUCUAUCUUGGAGACUUGGAAGAUGGCGAAUCCUGGAAGAACAAGCAAAAGUAUGGAAACACCUUGCCGCGGUGAUAGCGCCAGAACAGCCGUCGACGGCUUCAAGCUCCUGCGUGUGUUUCUGGCGUCCGGUCGUUGCGUUUGUACCCUGCGAGACUUGUAGCCGGCGGGCUGCCUGUGACCUAGAUGGAUGUUCUGAGACUCGUGGAUUCAUCCUUAUUAUGAGUUCCCAGAAAACGAUUAUUCCUAUAAAUCUAUUUCGUAGUGGAUUCUGGACGCAGGCACUCCCAUUACGCCGAACAGGUCCAGGCGUGUUAUUCCCUGACGACCACCUACCCUACUACCACCCCUUGGAAAGUUCGUGGCCUUUGUGAAUCCAUGCAUGUGUGCGUGGAUCACAACCAGCCGCAUUGUUUAUUUGGGCAACAGAACUAGACGUGGACUUAUUUGGGCAUGGACAUGGACGUGCAACAGAACUAGACGGCGGGCUACCUGACGUGUAUGGACCUGGACGUCCAUGGACCUGGACACGUCUUGCCAUUAGGCCAUGUUGCCUGGGUCGCUUCUAAAGGCAGUAAAAUCAUUCACCAAGGAGUCGACGACACAGCUAGCUGAUUUGUCUGCUCUGACGUGUGUGUAAGCAAAUGUUGUAUGAGGUCAUGUUUGUAAGGUGUGGGAAAUUA